UGGCAGCAGUGAGGAAUAUUGGUCAAUGGGCGCAAGCCUGAACCAGCCAUCCCGCGUGCAGGAAGACGGCGCUAUGCGUUGUGAACUGCUUUUCCAGGGAGAGAAACUUGCGCACGUGUUGCGCAAUUGACGGUACCCUGGGAAUAAGCAUCGGCUAACUCCGUGCCAGCAGCCGCGGUAAUACGGAGGAUGCGAGCGUUAUCCGGAUUCAUUGGGUUUAAAGGGUGCGUAGGCGGACUAUUAAGUCAGUGGUGAAAUCCUGCAGCUUAACUGCAGAACUGCCAUUGAUACUGAUAGCCUUGAGUUUGGUUAAGGUAGGCGGAAUGUGUAAUGUAGCGGUGAAAUGCUUAGAUAUUACACAGAACACCAAUUGCGUAGGCAGCUUACUGAGCCGACACUGACGCUGAGGCACGAAAGCGUGGGGAUCGAACAGGAUUAGAUACCCUGGUAGUCCACGCCGUAAACGAUGAUUACUCGCUGUUGGCGAUACACUGUCAGCGGCUAAGCAAAAGCAAUAAGUAAUCCACCUGGGGAGUACGGCCGCAAGGUUGAAACUCAAAGGAAUUGACGG
rnacentral:rRNA from 1 species